rnacentral:misc_RNA from 1 species
GGAAGAUUAAAAAUCUCAAGUCUAUGACUUACUUUUUCCAUCAUUAAUUGAGUAGGCAUUUGGAGAUAGACUUGGUUGAAACUUUGGAAAAAUAGUUUUAGAAGUUGAAAAGUUUUGGAAAGAUAUUCACAUUUUUUCAUAUUUGCCAGACCAGUUUGCACAUAGUUUAUCUAUUAGAGGCACUCUGCAAAUUGAGGAGCUCCUAAGUCAAGCUCUUGUUUCAUGAUGCAGUUCAUAAACCAGUCACUGCUGAAAGUCCAUAUUCCCUUUUUCACUGCUGACAAUGCUUCAUCCAUGUCUUCUUCACAAGCAACA